rnacentral:rRNA from 1 species
CCUACGGGAGGCAGCAGUGAGGAAUAUUGGUCAAUGGGCGCGAGCCUGAACCAGCCAAGUAGCGUGAAGGAUGACGGCCCUACGGGUUGUAAACUUCUUUUAUCAGGGAAUAAAGUGAGGCACGUGUGCCUCUUUGUGUGUAUUCUAUGAAUAAGGAUCGGCUAACUCCGUGCCAGCAGCCGCGGUAAUACGGAGGAUGCGAGCGUUAUCCGGAUUUAUUGGGUUUAAAGGGUGCGCAGAGGGGAUGUUAAGUCAGGGGUGAAAGUUUGCGGCUCAACCGCCGAAUUGCAAUUGAAACUGGAGGCCUUGAGUGCACGUGAGGUAGGCGGAAUUCGUGGUGUAGCGGUGAAAUGCUUAGAUAUCACGAAGAACUCCGAUUGCGAAGGCAGCCUA